rnacentral:rRNA from 1 species
UACGUAGGGGGCUAGCGUUAUCCGGAAUUACUGGGCGUAAAGGGUGCGUAGGUGGUUUCUUAAGUCAGAGGUGAAAGGCUACGGCUCAACCGUAGUAAGCCUUUGAAACUGAGAAACUUGAGUGCAGGAGAGGAGAGUAGAAUUCCUAGUGUAGCGGUGAAAUGCGUAGAUAUUAGGAGGAAUACCAGUUGCGAAGGCGGCUCUCCGGACUGUAACUGACACUGAGGCACGAAAGCGUGGGGUGCAAACAGG